AUUGAACGCUGGCGGCAUGCUUUACACAUGCAAGUCGAACGGCAGCACGGACUUCGGUCUGGUGGCGAGUGGCGAACGGGUGAGUAAUACAUCGGAACGUACCCAGUAAUGGGGGAUAACUAUCCGAAAGGAUAGCUAAUACCGCAUACGCCCUACGGGGGAAAGAGGGGGAUCGCAAGACCUCUUGUUAUUGGAGCGGCCGGUGGCUGAUUAGCUAGUUGGUGAGGUAAAGGCUAACCAAGGCGACGAUCAGUAGCGGGUCUUAGAGGACGAUCCGCCACACUGGAACUGAGACACGGUCCAGACUCCUACGGGAGGCAGCAGUGGGGAAUCUUGGACAAUGGGCGCAAGCCUGAUCCAGCAAUGCCGCGUGCGUGAAGAAGGCCUUCGGGUUGUAAAGCGCUUUUGUCAGGGAGCAAAUCCUUGUGGCUAAUACCCACCGGGGAUGAGAGUACCUGAAGAAUAAGGACCGGCUAACUACGUGCCAGCAGCCGCCGUAACAC
rnacentral:rRNA from 1 species